GCAGCUGGAUUUCUACAAUGAUCAAUCACCUCUGAUGUCUGUCAAACCUCCCCAACGCCAUCCGAGGUCCACCGCUGGCUGACCCUCCGCCAGAUUCCUCAUGAAACCAGAUUUCUCUGAUGGAUAAUCUUCAGACGAGCUUCCAUAUCAGGCAAAUCUCAGACGGGCUUCCCUAGCAACCGGACUCCUAUCGGACUUCACCAACAGAAAGUCUCCAUUCAAGCUUCUACAGCAGAUGACUCCCACCUGUAGCAUCAGCACCUAAGGCAUCCGACAACAGUAGACUCGACAGCAGCCUCAAAAAUAUUCGAGCUUCUCCUAGAUCG
rnacentral:lncRNA from 1 species